rnacentral:lncRNA from 1 species
UAGUGGUGGUCAGAGGUUUUUAUUCAUUAUAUUGUGUUCUAUGGUGGAGACGUGUUGAGUGGCAGAGAGUGGUUGAUAUCACGUUUCAAUAGUCUUUAUGAACAUAUGUUUUCAACGUGGUGUUAAUGGAUGUGAUCGACUAUCUAUAUGGUUUGUACUUUGCGGUUCAAAUUUGUUCAACAGUAGCUUAACUGAAGCUAACUCAGAACAAAAUAGACAAGGGCAAUUGAAGAAGAAGAUUUAUCUACACUAUGAGAAUUAUGUUCUUGU